GUGCCAAGAGCCCUGGAGACCAGCUUGAGUAUGCCACAAUUGUUGGAUUUGGCAGUGCCAGUGCUACAUGCUCACAGCCCAGCAGAGACUCGGCGGUGACCUACACAACUGUAGGUCAUUGCACAGCACAGGCAGCAGGUCAUUCACCAGCUGGGG